GGACACAUCCCGUGUCCAGCUGUUCAUCUCUCUAGUGCAGACACUAUAGAGAUGUUUGGACUGCAGUAUAAUGAGCAUGGUUGCCCCCAGUUCCUGUGGACUGGGACCAGCACAGGACCAAGACUGCCCGACCUCCUCCAGAGCAGUGCAUCCACUGCACAGUCAUCGUAAUGGACGUGGCACUAAGGAGGAUUGUCCAGCCGCAGAUGACGCUGAAGAACCGUUACAAGCCGCUAACACCAGUCUGCUUCAGCAGCUUGGUUGAAAUGGAGAUUGGAUGAUGCACUGUGCCCAACUAAUCAUACACGUGAUGCCUUGAGAGGUCGGGGUCAGAUUGUGAGUACUACUGUUUUCCUGAUCCGAUGUGAGGUCAAAGGUCAGGGAUGUCUAUGUGUCCAGAUUGUAAUGCACUCCGAGACAAAUUUGUAAAUUGUGAAAAUGGGCUAUACAAAUAAACUGAAUUGAAUUGA